rnacentral:rRNA from 1 species
UACGAAGGGGGCUAGCGUUGCUCGGAAUCACUGGGCGUAAAGGGCGCGUAGGCGGCCAUUCAAGUCGGGGGUGAAAGCCUGUGGCUCAACCACAGAAUUGCCUUCGAUACUGUUUGGCUUGAGUAUGGCAGAGGUUGGUGGAACUGCGAGUGUAGAGGUGAAAUUCGUAGAUAUUCGCAAGAACACCAGUGGCGAAGGCGGCCAACUGGGCCAUUACUGACGCUGAGGUGCGAGAGCGUGGGGAGCGAACCGG